UGGGACAGAUGAUUGGGGUGAAGUCGUAACAAGGUAGCCGUAUCGGAAGGUGCGGCUGGAUCACCUCCUUU
rnacentral:ncRNA from 3 species